GAUUGUAGCAGGAUACACCCCCCUCUGGUGGUGUUUUCCUAAUAUUAUCCGUUGAAUGGACAGGUGGGUAAUUAUAGGCCCAGUGCUAUUUAAGGAAGUCAGCCCUCCUGAUUGUAUGUCUUCCACCUUUCCCUGGAGGAGGGACUUCCUGGUCAGUGUUGUUGGACGUGGGUCCCGUGUGUGUACCAUUACUGCCAGCAGCAGCUCCGUUGUGCUUUAACCCGGUGUGGAUUCAUAGUGAAUGUUGCCAUCCGGAUUUGGGUGUGAGAACCUUAUCGGCUCAGCUUGUCGUGAGCAGUGUUAGCCGCACAGGCGUUAUCUCGCCAUCGGUAGUGGGAGACGGAACCAUCAGCAAUCGAUUGGCAGAAGAAUCAGCGGUGUUCGUGCUGGCCUUUGGCCUGUUUCCGCAACCGAUGAGUUUGCUGCUUUGUCUCCACUGUUUGUUUAUUUAAUUUAUGUUCAUUUACCUUCCGAGGGGGCCUGUCAGUCUGACGACCAUUCGCCGCCUCUUCAUCUGUAUCUCCUCGCAGUGCAUGACCGGGCUUAUGUUUGUAACGUUGGGUUCUCGGCUCUGUUAAUAGCCUAACUAUUAUUGUGUUGCAUGAUCUGUGCAUGUAUGC